AACAAACGCUGGCGGCGUGCCUAAUACAUGCAAGUCGAACGGGGAAAGUAGCAAUACGAGUACUAGUGGCGCACGGGUGAGGAAUACAUGGGUAAUCUGCCCUCGAGCUCGGGAUAACCAGUCGAAAGACUGGCUAAUACCGGAUAUGACCACAAGAUCUGAGGAUCAAGGGGUAAAAGGUUUUUCGCUUGAGGAUGAGCCCAUGUGGGAUUAGCUAGUUGGUGUAGGUAACGGCUCACCAAGGCGACGAUCCCUAACUGGUCUUAGAGGAUGAUCAGUCACACUGGAACUGAGACACGGUCCAGACUCCUACGGGAGGCAGCAGUAGGGAAUAUUGCACAAUGGAGGAAACUCUGAUGCAGCGACGCCGCGUGAGUGAUGAAGGCCUUCGGGUCGUAAAGCUCUGUCGUAUGGGACUAACAAAAUAGAAGUACCGAUGCAAGAAAGGAU
rnacentral:rRNA from 1 species